UAGGGAAUCUUCGGCAAUGGGGGGAACCCUGACCGAGCAACGCCGCGUGAGUGAAGAAGGUUUUCGGAUCGUAAAGCUCUGUUGUUAAGGAAGAACGAGUGUGAGAAUGGAAAGUUCAUACUGUGACGGUACUUAACCAGAACGGGACGGCUAACUACGUGCCAGCAGCCGCGGUAAUACGUAGGUCCCGAGCGUUGUCCGGAUUUAUUGGGCGUAAAGCGAGCGCAGGCGGUUAGAUAAGUCUGAAGUUAAAGGCAGUGGCUCAACCAUUGUAGGCUUUGGAAACUGUUUAACUUGAGUGCAGAAGGGGAGAGUGGAAUUCCAUGUGUAGCGGUGAAAUGCGUAGAUAUAUGGAGGAACACCGGUGGCGAAAGCGGCUCUCUGGUCUGUAACUGACGCUGAGGCUCGAAAGCGUGGGGAGCGAACAGG
rnacentral:rRNA from 1 species